rnacentral:tRNA from 1 species
GCGGAUGUGGCGGAAUUGGUAGACGCACCAGACUUAGGAUCUGGCGCCGCGAGGCGUGGGGGUUCGAGUCCCCUCAUCCGCA